rnacentral:rRNA from 1 species
GACGAACGCUGGAGGCGUGCUUAAUACAUGCAAGUCGAACGAACUCGACCUUCGGGUCAUAUGAGUGAGUGGCGAACGGGUGAGUAACACGUGAGAAACCUGCCUCGAAGUUUGGGAUAACCCAGGGAAACUCGGGCUAAUACCAAAUACCUUCUGAGAACCGCCUGGUUCACUGAAGAAAGAUUUAUCGCUUUGAGAGGGUCUCGCGGCCUAUCAGCUAGUUGGGGAGGUAACGGCUCACCAAGGCAUCGACGGGUAGCUGGUCUGAGAGGACGAUCAGCCACACUGGGACUGAGACACGGCCCAG